rnacentral:rRNA from 1 species
ACGAACGCUGGCGGCGUGCUUAACACAUGCAAGUCGAACGGAAAGGCCCCUUCGGGGGUACUCGAGUGGCGAACGGGUGAGUAACACGUGGGUAAUCUGCCCUGCACUUCGGGAUAAGCCUGGGAAACUGGGUCUAAUACCGGAUAGGACCUUUAGGCGCAUGCCUUUUGGUGGAAAGCUUUUGCGGUGUGGGAUGGGCCCGCGGCCUAUCAGCUUGUUGGUGGGGUGACGGCCUACCAAGGCGACGACGGGUAGCCGGCCUGAGAGGGUGUCCGGCCACACUGGGACUGAGAUACGGCCCAGACUCCUACGGGAGGCAGCAGUGGGGAAUAUUGCACAAUGGGCGCAAGCCUGAUGCAGCGACGCCGCGUGGGGGAUGACGGCCUUCGGGUUGUAAACCUCUUUCAGCAGGGACGAAGCGCAAGUGACGGUACCUGCAGAAGAAGCACCGGCCAACUACGUGCCAGCAGCCGCGGUAAUACGUAGGGUGCGAGCGUUGUCCGGAAU